AGUUUGAUCCUGGCUCAGGAUGAACGCUGGCGGCGUGCCUAACACAUGCAAGUCGAACGAAGCGCUUUACUUUGAUUUCUUCGGGGAUGAAGAGUUUUGUGACUGAGUGGCGGACGGGUGAGUAACGCGUGGGUAACCUGCCUCAUACAGGGGGAUAACAGUUAGAAAUGACUGCUAAUACCGCAUAAGACCACAGCUUCGCAUGGAGCAGUGGUAAAAACUCCGGUGGUAUGAGAUGGACCCGCGUCUGAUUAGCUAGUUGGUAAGGUAAGGGCUUACCAAGGCGACGAUCAGUAGCCGGCCUGAGAGGGUGGACGGCCACAUUGGGACUGAGACACGGCCCAAACUCCUACGGGAGGCAGCAGUGGGGAAUAUUGCACAAUGGGGGAAACCCUGAUGCAGCGACGCCGCGUGAGCGAAGAAGUAUUUCGGUAUGUAAAGCUCUAUCAGCAGGGAAGAAACUGACGGUACCUGACUAAGAAGCACCGGCUAAAUACGUGCCAGCAGCCGCGGUAA
rnacentral:rRNA from 1 species